UACGUAGGGGGCAAGCGUUGUCCGGAUUUAUUGGGCGUAAAGAGCGUGUAGGCGGCUAGGUAGGUCCGUUGUGAAAACUCGAGGCUCAACCUCGAGACGCCGGUGGAAACCAUCUAGCUAGAGUCCGGAAGAGGAGAGUGGAAUUCCUGGUGUAGCGGUGGAAUGCGUAGAUAUCAGGAAGAACACCGGUGGCGAAGGCGGCUCGCUGGGUCAGUUCUGACGCUCAUCCGCGAAAGCGUGGGGAGCAAACAGG
rnacentral:rRNA from 1 species